rnacentral:lncRNA from 1 species
CAUGCAUACAAAUAUAUACACGCAGAUGAAGGAGCUUCUGAUCGAUGCCAGACAGAAGGCAAAAAUCAGAAGAAGAAGAAACAGAAGAAAGAAGAAGCUCCGACUGAAUCAAGUUGUCCAUCUAUCGAUGAACAAGCUUCACCUCAACAAUGGAGUUUGAGGUCAAAUUAUGACAGGUUUGACUCCUACACUCCUCUCUCUGCUCUCCGUGUGCAGAUCCUCAUGA